UACAGAGGUCCCGAGCGUUGUUCGGAUUCACUGGGCGUAAAGGGUGCGUAGGUGGCUUGAAAAGUUUGAUGUGAAAGCUCAGGGCUUAACCCUGAAAUGGCAUUGAAUUCUGUCGAGCUGGAGGUUUGGAGGGGGGACUGGAAUUCUUGGUGUAGCAGUGAAAUGCGUAGAUAUCAAGAGGAACACCAGUGGCGAAGGCGAGUCCCUGGACAACACCUGACACUGAGGCACGAAAGCUAGGGGAGCAAACAGG
rnacentral:rRNA from 1 species